rnacentral:rRNA from 1 species
UGUAGGCUGCAACUCGCCUACACGAAGUUGGAAUUGCUAGUAAUCGUGGAUCAGCAUGCCACGGUGAAUACGUUCCCGGGUCUUGUACACACCGCCCGUCACACCAUGGGAGCUGGUAACACCCGAAGUCAGUAGUCUAACCGCAAGGAGGACGCUGCCGAAGGUGGGAUUAGCGACUGGGGUGAAGUCGUAACAAGGUAAC